AGUCGCGUAACUCAGCUGGUUAGAGUGUCACCUCGACAAGGUGGAAGUCGUCAGUUCAAAUCUGACCGCGACUACCA
rnacentral:tRNA from 1 species